UACGUAGGGGGGCAAGCGUUGUCCGGAUUUAUUGGGCGUAAAGAGCGUGUAGGCGGCCAUACAGGUCAGCUGUGAAAACUCGAGGCUCAACCUCGAGACGUCGGUUGAAACCGUAUGGCUAGAGUCCGGAAGAGGAGAGUGGAAUUCCCGGUGUAGCGGUGAAAUGCGCAGAUAUCGGGAAGAACACCCGUGGCGAAGGCGGCUCUCUGGGACGGUACUGACGCUGAGACGCGAAAAGCGUGGGGAGCGAACAGG
rnacentral:rRNA from 1 species